AUCCCAUGGUGCGGACACACAAGGAUGUACUCCUAAAGCCUCUCCCAAGCCUCGGAAAUUGACUCAUUACAUGCCUGCUGGAAGCUUGAAAUCCUUCCAUGAAGAGC